GACAUACCAUUGACCGGUCUAGAGAUUAGAUUUUUUCCUUCGGGGGACAAUGGAUACAGGUGGUGCAUGGUUGUCGUCAGCUCGUGCCGUGAGGUGUUGGGUUAAGUCCCGCAACGAGCGCAACCCUAUUGAUAGUUGCUAAUAUUAAGUUAAGGACUCUAUUGAGACUGCCAGCGACAAGCUGGAGGAAGGUGGGGAUGACGUCAAAUCAUCAUGCCCUUUAUGACCUGGGCUACAAACGUACUACAAUGGCCAGAUACAAAGAGAUGCGAAGCCGCGAGGUGGAGCGAACCUCAGAAAAAUGGUCUCAGUUCGGAUUGGAGUCUGCAACUCGACUCCAUGAAGUUGGAAUCGCUAGUAAUCGCGAGUCAGCAGAUCGCGGUGAAUACGUUCCCGGGUUUU
rnacentral:rRNA from 1 species